AACGAACGCUGGCGGCAGGCCUAACACAUGCAAGUCGAGCGCGCCCUUCGGGGUGAGCGGCGGACGGGUUAGUAACGCGUGGGAACGUGCCCUUCUCUAAGGAAUAGCCACUGGAAACGGUGAGUAAUACCUUAUACGCCCUUCGGGGGAAAGAUUUAUCGGAGAAGGAUCGGCCCGCGUUAGAUUAGAUAGUUGGUGGGGUAACGGCCUACCAAGUCUACGAUCUAUAGCUGGUUUUAGAGGAUGAUCAGCAACACUGGGACUGAGACACGGCCCAGACUCCUACGGGAGGCAGCAGUGGGGAAUCUUGGACAAUGGGGGCAACCCUGAUCCAGCCAUGCCG
rnacentral:rRNA from 1 species